AACGAACGCUGGCGGCAUGCCUAACACAUGCAAGUCGAACGAGACCUUCGGGUCUAGUGGCGCACGGGUGCGUAACGCGUGGGAAUCUGCCCUUCGGUUGGGAAUAACUGAGAGAAAUUUCAGCUAAUACCUUAUAAUGUCUUCGGACCAAAGAUUAUCGCCGAGGGAUGAGCCCGCGUAGGAUUAGGUAGUUGGUGGGGUAAUGGCCUACCAAGCCGACGAUCCUUAGCUGGUCUGAGAGGAUGAUCAGCCACACUGGGACUGAGACACGGCCCAGACUCCUACGGGAGGCAGCAGUGGGGAAUAUUGGACAAUGGGCGAAAGCCUGAUCCAGCAAUGCCGCGUGAGUGAUGAAGGCCUUAGGGUUGUAAAGCUCUUUUACCCGGGAUGAUAAUGACAGUACCGGGAGAAUAAGCUCCGGCUAACUCCGUG
rnacentral:rRNA from 1 species